CAGCCCAGGGGGCGGGCGUUUGAAAUCUGUGCCUUAGAGUAGACCCUGAAUAUCAUUUUUAUACCUUGGAGAACCAAUUACUUAAUGUCUUUUCCUUCCCCGACCCCCUCCCAGACUCCUUCAUUCCGGUACUGCGUGGACGGAAAGCCCCGGGUAGCCGACACCACGUCCGCAACUAGCGGGAGAGAGCGUGGAAAAGGAUUAUAUCAAACUGUUAAAAAUCCAACGGCUCCUGCUUCCGUCCUGCUCCUGAGCUAGACCCAACCAGCCUAGGGAGUUGGGCUACGGAAAGACUAGUAUUUUCACUUAAUUGGAUAUGAAGAAAGAACAAAUAUGUACGGGGGCAACCACGAUCUUUAUAAAGCGCUAAGUUCUAAUGGGAGGGGCGAUGUCAGUUUUAGCGUUUAUGACGUUGAAUGUUUAGAACGGUGGUCCCAGCUGUCAGAAGCGCGAGAUGGAAUUAAGAUGGCUACUCAAGCGUUAGGUGAAGUUUAAAUAAGACAACGAAAACCUGGGGGAAAUAAUCACCAAUGGUCUCCCACUGCUAUCAAAAGAAAGAAAGAAAAAAGACCGAGAGCAGAACAUAAGUUCCAGGAAAUCAGGAACCUUGUCUCUCUUGUUCACUGGUGUAUCCUCUGCAUAUAGAACAGUGCCUGGCACAUAAUAGGUGCUGAGAGAAAAAAGUAACUUACAUUCCACUAGUCUGAAAUCCUGAUUUGAAAUGAAGAUAUGACAAGACCCAGAGAAAUGAUUUCCAUUCAGGAGAGAAUCUCUAAGUGAAAAUUCAUGUGCUGAUCAGGCUCAAUAUAUACCAUCAUUAAGUCAUUCCCUACCCCAAGUCCAAUCAAGGCUGAUUAAUUCUCUCUCCAUUUCUACCAAUUGAAUCACUUCCUCCCAAUUCUAGUAAAUCCUUUCAUAUACAAAGUUGAAAUUUGUGCUUAAAAAUGUUGGAUGUUUUAAAUGAUAAGAAACAGAAAACCCAAUGGGCAUGAGUCAAAAUUGCAUUAAUGAAUAAUAUAAAUAAUGGAAUCUGCUUUGAAAUUUAAACCUAAUUCUAUACGAAAAGUUAGUGCUUUAAUUUGUUUUGAUAAGUAAGGAGGUUUUUAAAAAGUGGCUUGCCUUCUAUCCCCAAAUUCUGAUUUUAAAUGAAGACACUUAGGUUCAGAGGGGUGGUUUCCUGGAUAUAACCUCAGUGUGAAAUUUUCUUUGCUGAUAGUCCAGUUAGAUUACUGGAUAAUAUUAUAAUCUAACUACUACUUGUCUAAUUACAUGGUUAUUUUAUACUAAUUAGCAAGCCAGACAAUUAUUACUAAGACAAUUAAGAAUAAAACUUACUAAAAAUAGUUAAAAUAUCUAAACUAUAGAAAAUAAAAGAAUAGAAAAAUACAUGCCAGGCAAUAUAAACAAUAACAAGAAGACUUUAUGGAGUGAUAUUAAUUAUUAAAUUAUUCUUUUUAUUAAGUAACAUUAAUAGGGACAAAGAUGUGCAUCUUAUUAUAUUACAAAGAAAAAUCCACUAGGAAAUAAUGUAAUCAUGAACAUGUAUGCAACUAACCACAUAGCUGGAAAAGUGUGAAGCAAAAAGAAUUUCAAGGAAAAGCUGACAAAUCUGCAAUCAUGGUGGAAAUCUUUUUAUAACAUAAAUUGUUCUCAUCUUGGUAGAUCAUGCAGACUAACAAUAUUGAUCUAAUAUAUAUGUUAUAUGUGUGUGAAUAUAUGUGUAAUAUAUGUGUAUGCUUAUUGUAUUUAUAUAUGUAUAUAAAAUCUUAUAACAAAAACAGAAUACACAUUAUUUUCAAUAAACAUUGAAUAUUUUUUCCAAAUUAAUUAAGUAUAAAGCCCCAAAAUCAAUUUCAAUAAAUGCCUGUGUGUGCAUUUCUAAAUUGUGUUAGUCUUGCCAAUUUUUGAACUUUAUAAAUAUUUCAAAUGUUUAUAUAAAUUAAUUAUAUGUACUCUUUAGUGUUUUGCUUUUUUUCUCCCACUUAAUGUGUGUUGUAUGUAGCUGUGGUGUAUUAUAUAGAAUUUGAUUGUGUGAAAAUACAUAAUAUAAUUUA